GUGCCAGCCGCCGCGGUAAUACGGGGGGGGGCAAGCGUUGUUCGGAAUUACUGGGCGUAAAGGGCGCGUAGGCGGCCCUCUAAGUCAGACGUGAAAUCCCACGGCUUAACCGUGGAACUGCGUCCGAUACUGGAGGGCUUGAAUCCGGGAGAGGGAUGUGGAAUUCCAGGUGUAGCGGUGAAAUGCGUAGAUAUCUGGAGGAACACCGGUGGCGAAGGCGGCAUCCUGGACCGUUAUUGACGCUGAGGCGCGAAAGCUAGGGGAGCAAACGGGAUUAGAUACCCCCGUAGUCC
rnacentral:rRNA from 1 species